GUUUUUACAUCUUCAACCUACAGUACCAAGAGGAGGCAGCCUGCACACUUGAAUUCAUCCAGAGACGCUUUGUGGGUAUAAACCCAGAAAAAGGGACAAAGGCUGCAAAGGGGAAAAAAAGAAGAACUGUCAAUGCACACGUCGCCAGCCUCAUGCGCAGACUCAUGGAUUUUCAGUGGGAUUUCAUUUGAAAAAGACCCAAGACUUUCGAAAGGAUCCUCAUUGUGUGCUUUGAGAAAAUGGUUAGUGGUCUAUGCAGUGACAGUGUUUUUAUUGUUUAUUGCUCUUUAUUGACCAGGAGUUCCAUGAAGUGUUAAGUCUAGGCUUAAAUGUAUUCAUACAUGUUGAAUUUCAGUGGU